CGUCCCCACGAGCAGCGUCAGCCGGCAGGCGAGGCGACCCAAGAGCACCUCAAACUCUGACACCCUACCCCGGCCGCCGCCACCUCCAUCGCCGCAGACGCCUCCGAGGCAACUGAAGCACAGAUGCUGAUAGCACGGCUUGGCAUGCUUGUUUGGUUUUGUCCCCUGGUGGAUGAUUUAUUUUAGUUUUAACCUGUGUGUUGCUUCAUUCCAAUUGUAUACUCUACCGGUUGGAAUAUUUGAACUUUAUUUGAGAUCCUUAUGACUGAACAUAUAGCACGAAAAAAAAAGUAAGCUUGUGCACAGCAAGGUUAAGGAACUGAGAAUGUAUGAUAAAAUGAAGUAGCACCUACAGAUGAAGUGUACUGUUAAUCUGUUGUAGGCUGUGUUAUUUUGUAUUAAGUUGAUUAGUGAAUUACUAUACAGCUAUGUAGCACGGACACGGCAGCAAACUGGCAUGUCGGUGUCCGACACCGACACGCCGUUGACACGCCACCGAUACGUAUCGGUAGCGUAUCGGCGGAUUAAAUUGUAAAAAUAAAUAUCUUUAAUCACCGAUACUCCGUGCACACGGCGUCGAUGCAUCUCCAAGCGGCUGAGAGAAGGGGGAGGCGUAGCAGCCUGAGUUGUAUACUUGUGUAGCAGGCGGCAGCGGCAAGCCGGCAACUCGACCUGGAGAGCCGCAGCAGCGGGGCCUGAUCCGGCGUGGCCGGUGGCAGCAGGAGGUGCGCUGUCCUACACGGCGGACAGGUGGAUGGCGGCAGGAGGUGGCCGUCUCGCGGCAGAGGCGGAGGGAGAUGGCGGAGCUGAGCGCCGUUGGUGAGGCGGCGACCAUGGACAGUUGAGAAAUCGACCACCGUGGGAACAGAUGAGCAGUUUGUGUGGGGAGUAAAAUGAAGCUCUGGUGGGCUAGUGGGCUGCGCGGAGAGGGAUUGAGCAGGCCUAAGUUCAGUUGGGCCAAUCCAUUUUCUUUUCUGUUUGCUGUAUGUAUGUUUGCUAAUGAUAGUUUUUGAGGUGAUUAUAUA